UACGGAGGGUGCAAGCGUUGUCCGGAUUUAUUGGGUUUAAAGGGUGCGUAGGCGGCCUAAUAAGUCAGUGGUGAAAGCCUCCAGCUUAACUGGAGAACUGCCAUUGAUACUGUUAGGCUUGAGUAUACUUGAGGUAGGCGGAAUUGACAGUGUAGCGGUGAAAUGCAUAGAUAUUGUCAAGAACACCAAUUGCGAAGACAGCUUACUAAAUUAUAACUGACGCUGAGGCACGAAAGUGUGGGUAUCAAACAGG
rnacentral:rRNA from 1 species